rnacentral:lncRNA from 1 species
UAAAAGUGAAGUAAGAAUUAAGUUAUGUAACCUAAUAUAUAUAUUAGGUGUGAUAAUUAAAUAACCUAAAUGGUUAUCGUUAUUUAGUGGUCCUAAUAUUUUAUUUUUAUAUUAGUGACCUAAUUUAAGAGAAUUGUGGAACAUGUCACAAUUUAUUAAAUUAUUUUAUUCGAAUAGGUGAGUAAAGGAAUAUGAAGAUUAUGUGAUGGUUUAUAUUUGUUUAUUAUAUAAACAAAUAAAAUAAACUAAUGUAAUCCUAAUUAUAUAUUAAGAAUGAAUGAUUGAAUAACUUAAGAGUUAUGAGUUGGGGAAAAUAAUAGUAUUUAGAUAUAUACUAACUCUAAGAGAUUUAUUUUAUACAUCUCAGUUAAUUAAUUUUAUAACCUAAUUUUAGCAAGUCUAAUUGGGUUAAGGAAAUAAAUGUGCAUGAGUAAGGAUUUAAGUUAUAAUUGAGGAA